rnacentral:rRNA from 1 species
AGCGAACGUUUGCGGCGGGCUUAACACAUGCAAGUCGAACGAGAAUCCCUUCGGGGAGGAAAGUGGCGCACGGGUGCGUAACACGUGGAUGACCUACCCCUUGGUUCGGGACAACAGCGGGAAACUGCUGCUAAUACCGGAUGUGUCGUAGCAAUACGAGAAAGGCCCGCAAGGGUCGCCAGAGGACGGGUCCGCGUCCCAUCAGCUAGUUGGUGAGGUAAUGGCUCACCAAGGCGAAGACGGGUAGCUGGUCUGAGAGGAUGAUCAGCCACACUGGAACUGAGACACGGUCCAGACUCCUACGGGAGGCAGCAGUGGGGAAUAUUGCGCAAUGGGCGAAAGCCUGACGCAGCCACGCCGCGUGAGCGAUGAAGGUCUUCGGAUCGUAAAGCUCUGUGGGGGGAGAGAAGAAAGUCGGUGAAGAGCCGGCCCUGACGGUAUCCCCCUUAGCAAGCACCGGCUAACUCCGUGCCAGCAGCCGCGGUAAUACGGAGGGUGC